rnacentral:rRNA from 1 species
AAACUAGGAUUAGAUACCCUAUUAUUUUAAGUUUAUUUUUAAAGUAGUAAAUUAUGUUUUUUAAACUUAAUUUUUCUGGCGGUUCACUACUCUAACAGGAGGAGCUUGUCAAAUUAGAUUGAUAACCCGCUUUUAUUUUCACCAUUGGUUGAUCUUAUGUACGGCUGUUAAGCUUUAAGAUUUAGCUUAUUGUUUUAACUUUUAAAAGCUUAGUUCAGGUCAAUGUGUAGACUAUGCUGUGGAUUUUGAUGAGCUACUUUUAUUAGUUUUAGUAUUUGUCUUCUUUUUAAAUUGGAUUUGUUAGUAAAGCUGAAAUAAAACUUUAGCUUGGUGUAGACUUUUGGUGGAAGUACAUAUCGCCCGUCACUCUUUUGAUAGAUAAGUCGUAACAUAGUA